rnacentral:rRNA from 1 species
CCUACGGGGGGCUGCAGUGGGGAAUAUUGGACAAUGGGGGCAACCCUGAUCCAGCCAUGCCGCGUGUGUGAAGAAGGCCCUCGGGUUGUAAAGCACUUUCAGUGAGGAAGAACGCCUGGUGGUUAAUACCCAUCAGGAAAGACAUCACUCACAGAAGAAGCACCGGCUAACUCCGUGCCAGCAGCCGCGGUAAUACGGAGGGUGCGAGCGUUAAACGGAAUUACUGGGCGUAAAGCGCGCGUAGGUGGCUUGAUAAGCCGGUUGUGAAAGCCCCGGGCUCAACCUGGGAACGGCAUCCGGAACUGUCAAGCUAGAGUGCAGGAGAGGAAGGUAGAAUUCCCGGUGUAGCGGUGAAAUGCGUAGAGAUCGGGAGGAAUACCAGUGGCGAAGGCGGCCUUCUGGACUGACACUGACACUGAGGUGCGAAAGCGUGGGUAGCAAACAGGAUUAGAUACCCCAGUAGUC